rnacentral:rRNA from 1 species
GGCAUGUGCACGCUCUCUUCUGGACUUUCGCCGUAUGGGCGCGGGGCGACCCGCGUCUUCAUAUACCUCUUCGUGUAGAAAGUCUUUGAAUGUUUUUACGCUCAUCGAGUCGUGACUUCUAGGAGACGCGAUUCUUUGAGACAAAAGUUAUUACAACUUUCAGCAACGGAUCUCUUGGCUCUCGCAUCGAUGAAGAACGCAGCGAAUCGCGAUAUGUAAUGUGAAUUGCAGAUCUACAGUGAAUCAUCGAAUCUUUGAACGCACCUUGCGCUCCUCGGUGUUCCGAGGAGCAUGCCUGUUUGAGUGUCAGUAAAUUCUCAACCCCUCUCGAUUUGCUUCGAGCGGGUGCUUGGAUGGUGGGGGCUGCCGGAGACCUGGAUUCGUUCAGGACUCGGGCUCCUCUGAAAUGAAUUGGCUUGCGGUCGACUUUCGACUUUGCAUGACAAGGCCUUUGGCGUGAUAAUGAUCGCCGUUCGCCGAAGUGCACGACAGAAUGGUCCCGUGCCUCUAAUGAGUCGACGCCUUCUGGCGUCUUCCUUAUCGACGUUGACCUC